rnacentral:rRNA from 1 species
UACGUAGGGCGCGAGCGUUGUCCGGAAUUAUUGGGCGUAAAGAGCUCGUAGGCGGCUUGUCGCGUCGACUGUGAAAUCCCGCGGCUCAACUGCGGGUCUGCAGUCGAUACGGGCAGGCUAGAGUUCGGUAGGGGAGACUGGAAUUCCUGGUGUAGCGGUGAAAUGCGCAGAUAUCAGGAGGAACACCGAUGGCGAAGGCAGGUCUCUGGGCCGAUACUGACGCUGAGGAGCGAAAGCAUGGGGAGCGAACAGG